rnacentral:sRNA from 1 species
UUUUGUUCCGUAAAAACAACAGAUCAGAAGGGACUCCGACAAGACCCGAGUUCGAGGGAGAAUCAUAUUACAGCUGUAGGCUCAGUGUCACAAUAAAGGAAGAUCAUUCAAAUACACUAUGAUCUACGGAUUCUUGACCGCGGUCCUGCUUGUGUUGAUCCUUAACGACACGGGGACUCAGGGCAUAGCAACUAGAGUCUGCACCGUGACAUCUCGAUCCUCGUCAAACGGAAAAUGUGGCGGCAUUUUGCGUGAAGCGAUACGCUUCGCCUGCGACACCAAUUACUCUAGAAACCGGAGAGACGUCAUGUCAGAACCAGUGAACACAAUAGAUGACAUCUUUCUCUCAAAACCAAACGCCUUGUCGUACUUGACCAAACGGCAAGGAACUGGGACAGUAAUAUGUGAAUGCUGCUAUAAUCAUUGCACUGUCUUCGAAAUGCUGGACCACUGUCAUUAUUUCGGCUACGGAAAAAAAUAAUAAUGAUAUUCCUCUACGUGAUUGAAUCUUUGUUAAACUUAUUUAAAUCCGGUCUCUAUAUAGCUCAUGGAUGCUAGCAUUGAAAUUAUGAAAUAUGAAAUUCAAUGACUGUAUUU